GAUGAACGCUAGCUACAGGCUUAACACAUGCAAGUCGAGGGGCAGCAUGAUUGAAGCUUGCUUCAAUUGAUGGCGACCGGCGCACGGGUGAGUAACACGUAUCCAACCUUCCGUACACUCAGGGAUAGCCUUUCGAAAGAAAGAUUAAUACCUGAUGGUAUCUUAAGCACACAUGUAAUUAAGNUUAAGAUUUAUCGGUGUACGAUGGGGAUGCGUUCCAUUAGGUAGUAGGCCGGGGUAACGGCCCACCUAGCCUACGAUGGAUAGGGGUUCUGAGAGGAAGGUCCCCCCAAUUGGAACUGAGACACGGUCCAAACUCCUACGGGAGGCAGCAGUGAGGAAUAUUGGCAAUGGACGAGAGUCUGAACCAGCCAAGUAGCGUGCAGGAUGACGGCCCUAUGGGUUGUAAACUGCUUUAUAAGGGAUAAAGUGAGUCUCGUGAGACUUUUUGCAUGUACCUUAUGAAUAAGGACCGGCUAAUUCCGUGCCAGCAG
rnacentral:rRNA from 1 species